CGCACAGAGGGCUGCAAACCCGCGAGGGGGAGCCAAUCUCACAAAACGCAUCGUAGUCCGGAUCGCAGUCUGCAACUCGACUGCGUGAAGCUGGAAUCGCUAGUAAUCGCGCAUCAGCAAUGGCGCGGUGAAUACGUUCCCGGACCUUGUACACACCGCCCGUCAAGCCAUGGGAGUUGGGUAUGCCUGAAGAUGGUUGCUGUAAGGCGCUGUUUAGGGCAGAACUAGCGACUGGGGCUAAGUCGGAACAAGGUAGCCGUACCGGAAGGUGUGGCUGGAACACCUCC
rnacentral:rRNA from 1 species